GCUGCAGUACGAAGCGCAGCCGCUAUCCAGUGGGCGGCGCUGUGCUUGGCGAGCUGUGAGGAAGCCUUGGCGCGCAGCGGUACGCUGCAGCCAGUGAUGCCAGUUUUAUGAUAUCAAUUCCUUCUCGAACUGGAAAGAAAAUUAUUGGACCCAUGUCUAGUGGAGAUUUAACAUUUUUAAGUUGGGUAUUGGUUCUCAUUGAAGAGACCCAGUGGGUAAAUGGAAACGUAUUCUCGUGCAAUGCUCCAUGGGAAAAAAGUACGCAAAUGAGCUCUUGUCGAUCAAAGCUCCUCAAAAUGGAAGAGCGACCCAUCUGUAGACAGGGGAAUAGGUAUUUGUUUCUUGUAAACAGCUCUUCUUUCGUCCAUGUGGUACGUUGGGGCUGAGCUGCAAUACCAGACGCAACCUGCGGACAAGAGUGGCGCUGUUUCUAGGGGGGGAAAUACACCCCCUCUGCUUCUCAGAUCUUAAUAGAAUAGCAGAUGUUCAGUACUACACACACCAAGCCUAGCCUCACACUGGUAGGUGCCCUGGAGCCCUAAUUAUUAUACCCAGCAAACCUCAAGCUUCAGCAAGAACACAUCUGACUCUCCACCGGAGUAACAUAAACCUCUCACUUCUUCAUAACUGUCCGGCUGUGGCUAUAGGGUCAGGUCAAGACCCCCAGCUGCAUUGUGCUCCAGGCUACACCAUCCCCCCCCCCCACAUGCAACAUUCAUACUCAGCAUUUUACAGACCUAGGGGCACGUUCACACACAGCUGUCAAGGUGCAGUUAUAUGUGUAGAGGAAAAAAAUGAAUGCAGUUUUGCAGCACUUUGCAAUGCAGUUAUGGUUUGGGAAAAAAAAAAAAAGAUUUAACACAUUUCACCUGCAAAAAUAAAAAUA